rnacentral:rRNA from 1 species
GAUGAACGCUGGCGGCGUGCUUAACACAUGCAAGUCGAACGGUGAAGGCGGAGCUUGCUCUGCUGGAUCAGUGGCGAACGGGUGAGUAACACGUGAGCAAUCUGCCCCUGACUCUGGGAUAAGCGCUGGAAACGGCGUCUAAUACUGGAUACGAGCUGCGAAGGCAUCUUCAGCAGCUGGAAAGAAUUUCGGUCAGGGAUGAGCUCGCGGCCUAUCAGCUUGUUGGUGAGGUAAUGGCUCACCAAGGCGUCGACGGGUAGCCGGCCUGAGAGGGUGACCGGCCACACUGGGACUGAGACACGGCCCAGAAUCCUACGGGAGGCAGCAGUGGGGAAUAUUGCACAAUGGGCGAAAGCCUGAUGCAGCAACGCCGCGUGAGGGACGACGGCCUUCGGGUUGUAAACCUCUUUUAGCAGGGAAGAAGCGAAAGUGACGGUACCUGCAGAAAAAGCGCCGGCUAACUACGUG